GACGAACGCUGGCGGCGUGCCUAAUACAUGCAAGUCGAAAGCAGUGGGGACGGGUGAGUAACACGUGGGUAACCUCCCAUCAGAGGGGAUAACACUUGGAAACAGGUGCUAAACCGAUACUGAUGGAUGGACCCGCGGUGCAUUAGCUAGUUGGUGAGGUAACGGAUCACCAGGGCCACGAUGCAUAGCCGACCUGAGGGGGUGAUCGGCCAGACUGGGACUGAGACACGGCCCAGACUCCUACGGGAGGCAGCCGUGGUGACUCUUCGUCAGUGGGCCAAAUCUUGACCAAGCAACGCCGCGGAAGUGAAGAAGGUUUUCGGAUCGUAAAACUCUGUUGUUAGAGAAGCGGUAUCUGACCAGAAAGCCACGGCUAACUACGUGCCAGCAGCCGCGGUAAUAC
rnacentral:rRNA from 1 species